rnacentral:rRNA from 1 species
AUUGAACGCUGGCGGCAGGCCUAACACAUGCAAGUCGAACGAGUCGCGGACGGGUGAGUAAUGUCUGGGAAACUGCCUGACGGAGGGGGAUAACCACUGGAAACGGUAGCUAAUACCGCAUACCAUCAGAUGUGCCCAGAUGGGAUUAGCUUGUUGGUGGGGUAACGUCUCACCAAGGCGACGAUCCCUAGCUGGUCUGAGAGGCUGACCAGCCAUACUGGAACGGAGACACGGUCCAGAUUCCUAGGGUAGGCAGCAUUGGGGAAUAUUGCACAAUGGGCGCAGGCCUGAUGCAGCCAUGCCGCGUGUGUGAAGAAGGCCUUCGGGUUGUAAAGUACUUUCAGCGGGGAGGCGUUACCCGCAGAAGAAGCACCGGCUAACUCCGUGCCAGCCGCCGCGGUAAUAC